AGCUUUGCGCAGUGGCAGUAUCGUAGCCAAUGAGGUUUAUCCGAGGCGCAAUUAUUGCUAAUUGAAAACUUAUUGCUAAUUGAAAAGGACUACCAUAGCUAAUGGCUCAAAUGUAUGAAUUCAAAUCCAAAAGUAUG
ensembl:snRNA U4 U4 spliceosomal RNA